GAUGAUUGAUGACCCUUUGUAGUUAGUUAGCUCAGUGGACAUCUGUUUUUUUUUUAAGCAAAGUUGAGAUCUUUGAGAAAGAUGGGGUCUUUUCUUGGUUUCUAGUUUUCUCCUUCAUUUUACUGAAAUGUCAAGUUGGAAAGGGUCUUCUUGUUAAGGGAUGAUGACCCUUUGUAGUUAGCUCAGUGAAUAUCUCUUUGU
rnacentral:misc_RNA from 1 species